CCUCCAGCACCUGCACCAGUUACUCCACCAGCAAGUUCUCCGGAAAAUGCUCCUCCAGCUCCAGUGGCUGCACCAACCGCAGAGGUUCCUGCGCCGACUCCCAGCAAGAAGAAGUCGAAGAAGCACACUGCCCCAGCUCCUGGUCCAGAGUUGUCAAGCCCACCUGCUCCACCAACUGAGGCACCUGGACCAAGCGCUGAAGCCAACUCACCUGGUCCAUCUGUGGCUAAUGAGGUACAUUCUGGUGCUCUUCUUAAUUAUUUUCCGCUUAGGCUACUUUCUAACAUGCGCCGGAGUGCAAUGCACUCCCAGAUCUAAAACUUUAAUACAAAGAUCCACGGUCCCUCAUUUUUUUUCUUUUACCAAAAAAAAUAUAUAUUCUUAUGCUUAGUGCUUACAAUAGUGAGAACUGAUUGACCCAUCGUUGAAAUGCUAAAAUGUCGGUGCUGUGCUAUAUUGUAACUGAGAAGCGUGAAGCAAGCUUGCUUCUGGUAAGAGUUUGUUUUUAAUGUAAUGAACGCGGCACUAACGCGUAAGAUGCACGCUCCAGUAAUCUGGUGUCUUUCGGUGUCAACCUCACGCAAUUCCAUUGUCAUCCGUGGAUCUGCACAAAAUGACUGUUAUUCUGGUUUAGUCCACACGGGAGCAGUGGUUCAUUAGACACUAGCUCUGGCUUAACCCGACCAAGUUGAUCUUAACGAAGUAUUUGAUUUGAAUGCAAUUGAAUAGAAAUUUGUGCGCAAUGGACGGGCUCUCUAUGAUCGCACCUUCUUUAAAAGGGAUUUAUUCUUGUGGGAUUCUCAAGUUAACAGUUCUCUCACAAGGACGAUUCAUUGUUGGCCUUAAGCCCAAAUCAGGCUUUCGUUGAAAUUUAGAUCAAAAUUUCAGGUUUAUAAUUCUUUUGACAAGAAAAAUUUUCACUUUGAUUGAUUGUAACGAGUGGUGGUAAGCUACUACAUGCCCCUUAUUUUCAUUGAUUUUUGGGUUGUGAAAUGCUGAAUUUGUGAAACCAAAUUGCAGAACGGAGCAGAGACGAUAAAGAGCCUGCAGAAGAUGGCAGGAGGGUUGGCAAUGGGAUGGGCAAUGGUGGCUUUGAUCUUCUAGAAAGAGCAAGAGUGAGAGAUGUUUAUCAUGUGACACUACUGUUCCUCCUGUGAUAUGAUUUUAAUCUUUUUUGCCCCCAUGUUCUCUUACUUGUUACGGGAUUCACAUUUGAUAUUUUUUUAUUUACCAUUAUUUGGUUAAAUAAUUGUUAGUGGUUCUGUGAUUAUUGCCUGGCGAUUAACCACAUUUGCUUUGUAUUCGGUAUUCUUUGAGAGAGACUUGUGGGGGUGGUGGGAAAAACUCCGUAUUUUUGUACUUCUCUGGUCACCGCCUUUUUUUAUCUAUUUUGGAUCCUUCUAGUAGGACACGGACGCUUCUCCUGUUUCCUUCUACCUUUUUUAUCCUUUCGCGUUUUGCUUUCUUCGUCAGUUUUGGCUUUAUUCUUCGAUCGUUUCAUGGUAAGU
rnacentral:misc_RNA from 1 species